CAGCCAUGUCCCUAAGCACCACCUGAACAUCUUUGUGUCUUUUGAACACUUCCAGGAACAGUGAUUCCACCACUUCCUUGGACAGCCUGUCUUUCUGCUCGACCACCCUUCCAGUGAAGAAAUUUUCCCAGUAUCCAGUAGAUGAAAGCAAAGAGUCUUAGACAACGGUCCUUUUGCACUUUUUGAGCAAGGAGAGUCAAUGAUGGUGGGAUGGAGGUGGAGGUGCUGGUGCCCUGCUCUUGCCAAGCUGGGCAGGAGCAGGGUGAGCACUGCCAUCCUCCAGCCCCUGCCGCCAGCCACCUGUGAUGCUCUCCUUAAUAUUGGCAUGUGAACACGUGUGUCAGGUUAUUUCAAGGGAAAGUCAAGCUGGAUGAGCCAACAUGGAGAAUACAUUCUGCCUCUUCUGCAAAUGCAGAAUCACUUUUGUGUGGUGUUGCUCAGAUCCAGGACAGACUCGGUCCUCAUCUGUUAGAAACGUUAUUAAAAAGAACAGUGACAGGUAAAACCAGCAACACAGGCAAGACCAGAUCUCUGCUUCCCCAGUUGCCCCCUCACAGGUUUAAUCCAGGAGGAUGCUGCUGUCUCCUGCAGCACAGAGGCCAGGCACAUCCACGGCAGAGGAAAAGGCAUGCUGGAAAUAUCUGCUCUGCUCUCAGUCUGUACCUUGUGACCCUGCCAGGACCAGCCCCCCGCAGCCUCCAUUGUCCCCUGCUCUGCUCCCCAUUGUUCCCUUGCAAUCGGAGAU
rnacentral:lncRNA from 1 species